GACGAACGCUGGCGGCGUGCCUAAUACAUGCAAGUAGGACGCAGUUGCGAACGGGUGAGUAACGCGUAGGUAACUACCUAUUAGAGGGGGAUAACUAUUGGAAACGAUAGCUAAUACCGCAUACUAGUAGAUGGACCUGCGUUGUAUUAGCUAGUAGGUAGGGUAAUGGCCUACCUAGGCAACGAUACAUAGCCGACCGGAGAAGGUGGUCAGCCACACAAGGAAUGAGACACGACCCAGAAGCAUACGGGAGGCAGCGGUAGGGGAUCUUCGGCAAUGGGAGGAACCCUGACCGAGCAACGCCGCGGGAAUGAAGAAGGUUUUCGGAUCGUAAAGCUCUGUUGUUAAGGAAACGGUACUUAACCAGAAAGGGACGGCUAACUACGUGCCAGCAGCCGCGGUAAUAC
rnacentral:rRNA from 1 species